UGGUUCUGGCAUCGAUGAAGAACGCAGCGAAAUGCGAUAAGUAAUGUGAAUUGCAGAAUUCAGUGAAUCAUCGAAUCUUUGAACGCACAUUGCGCCCCUUGGUAUUCCGAGGGGCAUGCCUGUUCGAGCGUCAUAUAAACACAUCCCUCACGGGGUCUUGGGAUCCGCGUUCCAGCGGUCCUUAAAAUUAGUGGCGGUGCCAUCUGGCUCUAAGCGUAGUAAUUAUCCUCGCUAUUGAGUUCUAGUGGUCACUAGCCAAUAACCUCAACUUUCUACGUUUGACCUCGGAUCAGGUAGGGAUACCCGCUGA
rnacentral:misc_RNA from 1 species